rnacentral:rRNA from 1 species
UACGUAGGUGGCAAGCGUUAUCCGGAUUUAUUGGGCGUAAAGGGAACGCAGGCGGUCUUUUAAGUCUGAUGUGAAAGCCUUCGGCUCAACCGUAAAAUUGCAGUUGAAACUGGCAGUCUUGAGUACAGUAGAGGUGGGCGGAAUUCGUGGUGUAGCGGUGAAAUGCUUAGAUAUCACGAAGAACUCCGAUUGCGAAGGCAGCUCACUGGACUGCAACUGACACUGAGGCUCGAAAGUGUGGGUAUCAAACAGG